GCAAACUUGGUCAUUUAGAGGAAGUAAAAGUCGUAACAAGGUUUCCGUAGGUGAACCUGCGGAAGGAUCAUUAAAGAUUCUGGCGCUCUGCGCCUGUCUUGUCCUGCAGCUGUGCGCCUUCGGGCCGCACGCUGUGGAACUUCUCACACCUGUGCACGUAUUCGGUCGGGGCCUUCGGGCCUCUUCCGCCAUUUUACAUCACACUCCAGUCUCGUAUGAAACACACUAUAAACGAUAGUAACAACUUUCAACAACGGAUCUCUUGGCUCUCGCAUCGAUGAAGAACGCAGC
rnacentral:misc_RNA from 1 species